GACGAACGCUGGCGGCGUGCUUAACACAUGCAAGUCGAACGGAAAGGCCCUGCUUUUGUGGGGUGCUCGAGUGGCGAACGGGUGAGUAACACGUGAGUAACCUGCCCUUGACUUUGGGAUAACUUCAGGAAACUGGGGCUAAUACCGGAUAGGAGCUCCUGCUGCAUGGUGGGGGUUGGAAAGUUUCGGCGGUUGGGGAUGGACUCGCGGCUUAUCAGCUUGUUGGUGAGGUAGUGGCUUACCAAGGCUUUGACGGGUAGCCGGCCUGAGAGGGUGACCGGCCACAUUGGGACUGAGAUACGGCCCAGACUCCUACGGGAGGCAGCAGUGGGGAAUAUUGCACAAUGGGCGGAAGCCUGAUGCAGCAACGCCGCGUGCGGGAUGACCGCCUUCGGGUUGUAAACCGCUUUCGCCUGUGACGAAGCGUGAGUGACGGUAAUGGGUAAAGAAGCACCGGCUAACUACGUG
rnacentral:rRNA from 1 species